AGAGUUUGAUCAUGGCUCAGGAUGAACGCUGGCGGCGUGCCUAACACAUGCAAGUCGAGCGAUUCUCUUCGGAGAAGAGCGGCGGACAGGUGAGUAACGCGUGGGUAACCUGCCCUGUACACAUGGAUAACAUACCGAAAGGUAUGCUAAUACGAGAUAAUAUGCUUUUAUCGCAUGGUAGAAGUAUCAAAGCUUUUGCGGUACAGGAUGGACCCGCGUCUGAUUAGCUAGUUGGUAAGGUAACGGCUUACCAAGGCGACGAUCAGUAGCCGACCUGAGAGGGUGAUCGGCCACAUUGGAACUGAGACACGGUCCAAACUCCUACGGGAGGCAGCAGUGGGGAAUAUUGCACAAUGGGCGAAAGCCUGAUGCAGCAACGCCGCGUGAGCGAUGAAGGCCUUCGGGUCGUAAAGCUCUGUCCUCAAGGAAGAUAAUGACGGUACUUGAGGAGGAAGCCCCGGCUAACUACGUGCCAGCAGCCGCGGUAAUACGUAGGGGGCUAGCGUUAUCCGGAAUUACUGGGCGUAAAGGGUGCGUAGGUGGUUUCUUAAGUCAGAGGUGAAAGGCUACGGCUCAACCGUAGUAAGCCUUUGAAACUGGGAAACUUGAGUGCAGGAGAGGAGAGUGGAAUUCCUAGUGUAGCGGUGAAAUGCGUAGAUAUUAGGAGGAACACCAGUUGCGAAGGCGGCUCUCUGGACUGUAACUGACACUGAGGCACGAAAGCGUGGGGAGCAAACAGGAUUAGAUACCCUGGUAGUCCACGCCGUAAACGAUGAGUACUAGCUGUCGGAGGUUACCCCCUUCGGUGGCGCAGCUAACGCAUUAAGUACUCCGCCUGGGAAGUACGCUCGCAAGAGUGAAACUCAAAGGAAUUGACGG
rnacentral:rRNA from 1 species